AACGAACGCUGGCGGCAUGCCUAACACAUGCAAGUCGAACGAAGGCUUCGGCCUUAGUGGCGCACGGGUGAGUAACACGUGGGAACCUGCCUCUUUGUUCGGAAUAACUGCGGGAAACUGCAGCUAAUACCGGAUACGCCCUACGGGGGAAAGAUUUAUCGCAGAGAGAGGGGCCCGCGUCCGAUUAGGUAGUUGGUGGGGUAACGGCCUACCAAGCCGACGAUCGGUAGCUGGUCUGAGAGGAUGAUCAGCCACACUGGGACUGAGACA
rnacentral:rRNA from 1 species